GAAGACCGGAGAGAUUAAGCAGCAGAAAUGUAAUCCCUCAAGGCCACGGGGAAUGGAGUUAGGGCUGGGAAAGAAACAAGGAAGCAAGGGAUCUGCACUGGAACCCUUCUGUUUGCGGGACAAAUAUAUAUAAGUGACAUGGAUUAAAAUCUAAUUUGGUCAACACAUCCAUGAACCAAGCAAUGAUUCCUCAUCCAACACUCACAGGAAAUAUCUGAUGCCUUCUCAUUUGAAUGUUCACAGAAAUCAUUGGAUUAAUAUUACAAAUGAAGAUACGUCUAAUUGUUUUAGACUCCAAUCAUUAAUGUUCAUUUCUACAUUUUACA